rnacentral:rRNA from 1 species
AUACAGAGGGUGCGAGCGUUAAUCGGAUUUACUGGGCGUAAAGCGUGCGUAGGCGGCUGAUUAAGGCGGAUGUGAAAUCCCUGAGCUUAACUUAGGAAUUGCAUUCGAUACUGGUCAGCUAGAGUAUGGGAGAGGAUGGUAGAAUUCCAGGUGUAGCGGUGAAAUGCGUAGAGAUCUGGAGGAAUACCGAUGGCGAAGGCAGCCAUCUGGCCUAAUACUGACGCUGAGGUACGAAAGCAUGGGGAGCAAACAGGAUUAGAUACCCUGGUAGUCCAUGUCGUAAACGAUGUCUACUAGCCGUUGGGGCCUUUGAGGCUUUAGUGGCGCAGCUAACGCGAUAAGUAGACCGCCUGGGGAGUACGGUCGCAAGACUAAAACUCAAAUGAAUUGACGGGG